ensembl:lncRNA
CAACUCUGAUUCAGAAGAGGAAGAUGUAUCAGAAGAAGAAGAAGAUGGGGAGGAAUACAACCCAGAGCAUGAUGAAUCAUCUUCAGAAGAAGAAGAAAACCCUGAAGCUGAAACAGAGACUUUCCUUUCAAAAAAUGGAAAAAUAACAUGGUCCUCAGCAGCAUAUGACCAACACGGCAGGCAUGCAGCACAAAACGUCAUAAAGAAGACCCCAGGACCCACAAGGUACGCCGUUUGCCAUGUCAAUGACAUGGUCUCUACAUUCUACCUGUUUAUCACACCAGCAAUAGAAAGAAAAAUCCUGGAGAUGACAAAUAUGGAGGGUUUUCGCAAAUAUGGAGACAGCUGGAAAAAGAUGGAUGAGACUGACCUGCAGGCCAACAUAGGGCUGCUAAUCUUAGCAGGUGUGUACAGGUCCCGAGGUGAGGCUGCAGCUAGUCUAUGGGAUGCAGAGAGUGGAAGGCCAAUUUUCCGAGCCACAAUGGCACUCAAACUCUUUCACACCUACUCAAGACUGCUACGAUUUGAUGACCGUGAGUCAAGACCAGCAAGACGUGUGACAGACAAACUUGCAGCCAUAAGAGAGGUCUGGGACAAGUGGGUGGAGCGGCUGCCCUACCUCUACAAUCCAGGGCCUGACGUAACAGUGGAUGAGCAACAGGUUCCAUUUUGAGGUCGUUGUCUUUUCCGGCAGUAUAUGCCCAGCAAGCCAGCAAAAUAUGGGAUCAAGUCAUGGGUGGCUUGCGAUGCCAAAUCAAGCUAUGCUUGGAAAAUGCAAAUCUAUACCGGGAAGCCGACCAGUGGAUGCCCAGAGAAGACCCAGGGGAUGAGAGUUGUGCUUCAUGUGACAGAGGGACUGAGGGGUCACAAUGUGACAUGUGACAAUUUCUUCACCUCUCAUGAACGUGGACAGCAGCUCCUGAAGAGGAAGAUCACUGUGGUUGGUACAGUUCGAAAGAACAAGCCUGAGUUCCCACCUGCACUGCUUGCAACAAAGGAGAGAGAGAGGUCUUCUCAUCAAAGUUUGCCUUCACUCCCACCACCGCUCUAGUUUCUUACCUCCCAAAGAAAAACAAGAAUGUAGUUCUUCUGAGCACACUGCACACAGACGGUGACAUUAGCGAUCGAGAGGACAGGAAGCCAGUCAUCAUCCUGGACUACAACCGCAACAAAGGAGGUGUGGACAACCUGGAUAAGGUGAUUGGAACAUACAGCUGCAGAAGGAUGACUGCCCGCCGGCCCCUGGUCAUCUUCCACAACAUCAUUGAUGUUUCCUCCUACAAUGCCUUUGUGAUUUGGAGAGAGAUCAACCUGACCUGGAUGUCUCGUAAGCAGAACAAGAGGAGGGUGUUCCUGGAGCAGGUAGGAAAGGCACUUGUAACUCCACUCAUUGAAAGAAGGAAGCAUGUCCCCCGCACAGAAGCCUCAGCAG